GGUCCAUUGGUCCAGUGGAAGGGCGUCUGGCUUCGAACCAGAAAGUCGUGGGUUCAACCCCCACAUGGACCU